AUUUUAGAAGCUGACCCUUCUGCUAUCGUCCAGAGAGUGGCAAUAAAAUCAGAUGACAUUCCAUUAGGAGAACAGACAGUUGCACAGCACCUCACCAAAAAAUUGGAGGUGCAAGAUUUGGAAUUUUGGAAUUGGGGGCUAGUUGAUUUCAGUGAUCCUCAUGUUUAACUAGUACUUCUUUAUUGACCCCAAAUGGA
rnacentral:lncRNA from 1 species